CAGCAGCCACGGUAAUACGGAGGGUGCAAGCGUUAAUCGGUAUUACUGGGCGUAAAGCGUGCGUAGGUGGUGGUUUAAGUCCGUUGUGAAAGCCCUGGGCUCAACCUGGGAAUUGCAGUGGAUACUGGGUCACUAGAGUGUGGUAGAGGAUAGUGGAAUUUCCGGUGUAACAGUGAAAUGCGUAGAGAUCGGGAGGAACAUCAGUGGCGAAGGCGGCCAUCUGGGACAACACUGACGCUGAGGCACGAAAGCGUGGGGAGCAAACAGGAUUAGAUACCCGCGUAGUCCCUGUCUCUUAUAC
rnacentral:rRNA from 1 species